rnacentral:lncRNA from 1 species
UUUUCUUUAACAAGUUAUUUUUUGGUUACCAAACAGACCCAUAAUAUGCAAUGCAAUCAUCCAUGGCAUUAAUCUAAAUGCAUGAAGUACAACAUAAAUUAAUAAAUUGAGCUUGCUUAGUAGGAAAUAACAUCAAAUAUAAAGCCUAAUGCUACAGGCUGCUGGAUUACAUCAGAUUAUGACUAAAAAUGGCUUAUCAUAAGCCUAAUACUAUAACUGAGUUGCCAAAGUCCUUUAAGGAAAGCCCCCAUAGGGGAAACCUGCACCAAGAGGGAAAAUGAUGCAAGGAAAGAACACUUGAACUAAAACCAAAGCUGACAUUCCACAUCAACUCAGAACUAUAACUAGGGGAACCACUUUAAUACCAACAGAAACAUACUACAAUGGCAAAAAUAGCAUCCACAGAAGAUUAAAAGCAUUAGUUGAAACCUUAGUCUUCACGAAUAUGGAACCAACAAUGCAUUGAAUCUCAUAAAUCCUCUUCGAAGAAAUGCUAAAUUUUGGUCUGACAUGAAUCCCUCAGACUUCAAGACAAACAUCACCUAGCAGCAGAAAGAGUCAAUAAAAAACCAACCAGCAACAAACCGGACCCAAAAUACAUAACCCAAAAUUCGACAAAAUCACCAACAGCAUCAAACCAACUAAAACCCAAGAUACCACAUCAAAACAGAAAGACAGUUCUGAAAAUUAAUGUUGAUGUCCAUACAUAUAACAAGCCCCAAGUGUUUGUCUGAGUUAAAGAUUUUUUCAUUUUGGUUGAUUUUACCAAAGAUAGCAAUUAGGAAAGAAAAGGCAUAAGACAUUCAUGCAACUAAAAUAUUCUUAGAAUAAGGCCUUAGCAAAAUUAAGAUCCUCAGCCCAACAAUAGAAUUUGUCAACAACACAACAUACCUUGAAGAUAAAUGGCUGGCAAGGAGACGACAAGACAGCAAGAGAUGGCAAGUCGGCAACGGCAGUCAGCAAGUGAAGGAUCAAGGAAGAAGGGGGAGGUUUUUAAUUUUAGGGGGCUUUCAAGAAAAGGGGGCGGCCAAUCUAUCAACAAUCAGGACUUGGGAAGGGAAGGAAAGGAAGAGGGGGAAUUUAAUGAGAUAUAUAACGGGAAUUGCAUCCUUUCUGAUUUUUCGGUCAGUUCGGUUGAGAAGGAAUUGCCCCCAGCAGUCGAACUGCAGUGCCUUCAAAAUCGACAGUCACAACCGACGCCAAAAUCGACAUCGAAAAACUACGUCGAUUGUGAUGGUCGCUGUCAGUUCCGGUCGGUUGUGUAGUUACAACCGAAUGGUUGCUCAGCCCUGAGUUACAAGGAAUGUUUUAUUCCUUACUUUUGUCAAUGAAUUUUUAACUUUUCAAAAGGACAAUGAUAGAAUAGUUGAAGCUAAUUUUUUAUGAAUUAAUCUACUCAAAUCUCGAAAAAAAAGGGGAGAAGAGAUUGGAUUUGUUCCAUUGUUGUGUACUCUGAGGUGUUCCAAGAUCCGCGAGACCCAAUAUAAAAUUCGAUUUGAGUUGGGUUGGGUUGGUGUAGUCAUCU